AGGGACCAGGACGAUGGCUGGCCAAAUACAGCUGGUGAUGGAGCCGAGGCCCGUCGUUUCAGCAGAAGUUGUAGAGCAUGUUGGCCAGUCCGCAGUGAUAAUCUCAUCACAGCAGCAGGUCGAUCUUCAGGGCAGUGUAGCAUGUGUAUGAAUUGUGGUUUAGGUCACA
rfam:Oryza rufipogon genomic scaffold, chr08